rfam:Schistosoma mattheei strain Denwood, Zambia genome assembly, scaffold: SMTD_contig0002014
GCUGACGAGUUUCAAAUAAGACGAAACGCGCGUCC